rnacentral:rRNA from 1 species
GUGCCAGCAGCCGCGGUAAUACGGAGGGUGCAAGCGUUAUCCGGAUUCACUGGGUUUAAAGGGAGCGCAGGCGGGCUUGUAAGUCUGUGGUGAAAUCUCCGGGCUUAACCCGGAAACUGCCAUGGAUACUACAGGUCUUGAAUGUUGUGGAGGUAAGCGGAAUAUGUCAUGUAGCGGUGAAAUGCAUAGAUAUGACAUAGAACACCUAUUGCGAAGGCAGCUUACUACGUAAAUAUUGACGCUGAGGCUCGAAAGCGUGGGGAUCAAACAGGAUUAGAUACCCUGGUAGUCCACGCCUUAAACUAUGAUUACUCGACGUGCGUGAUACAUUGUGUGCGUUUGAGCGAAAGCAUUAAGUAAUCCACCUGGGAAGUACGACCGCAAGGUUGAA